AUUGAACGCUGGCGGCAGGCCUAACACAUGCAAGUCGAGCGGAUGAAGGGAGCUUGCUCCUGGAUUCAGCGGCGGACGGGUGAGUAAUGCCUAGGAAUCUGCCUGGUAGUGGGGGAUAACGUCCGGAAACGGGCGCUAAUACCGCAUACGUCCUGAGGGAGAAAGUGGGGGAUCUUCGGACCUCACGCUAUCAGAUGAGCCUAGGUCGGAUUAGCUAGUUGGUGGGGUAAAGGCCUACCAAGGCGACGAUCCGUAACUGGUCUGAGAGGAUGAUCAGUCACACUGGAACUGAGGCACGGUUCAGACUCCUACGGGAGGCAGCAGUGGGGAAUAUUGGACAAUGGGCGAAAGCCUGAUCCAGCCAUGCCGCGUGUGUGAAGAAGGUCUUCGGAUUGUAAAGCACUUUAAGUUGGGAGGAAGGGCAGUAAGUUAAUACCUUGCUGUUUUGACGUUACCAACAGAAUAAGCACCGGCUAACUUCGUG
rnacentral:rRNA from 1 species